GUGGUGACGGAGCAGAGAGGCCUUGAGUCUGAGCGGCUCCCUGAGCCUAGCCAGGGCCUCCCGGGGCCCGGCUCCCUUCUGUCCCCCGCUCUCCCUGCCACAGGGCUCCUUCCCGCCGCAGUACCACCUUGGUCCGGGCCAGCCACCCUGCCGGCUCCGUUCAAGAGAGAAUUCAUAAAAUACGAGGAAGAUAAACUUGAUACCUCGGGGGGUCACUGUGGUUCCCCGACUCAAGAAAUAUGGGGAUGUCUAAGCCGGAUGACAGAUACAGUGGCCUUUCUUGGGGGAGACAGAGAUGCAAUGCUCCACACACCCAAAUCCAUCACCGUGGGACAUACAUCCGGACACAGCGGUGAUCUGCCAGCACGGCAACAGCGGGCUGCGGCCAAGGCCGUGCGAGCAGAUUAUUACGGCCUCUGGGGAGGGGCUCCAGCCGAGUGAGCAGAACCUACAGGCCCCUGCCCACCAGGCCACAGCCUCCUGAGCCAGGCCUGGAGCCCACCCGGCUCGUCCCACGGCAACCAGGAUUGCCCAGUGGGCUGCCCUCUGAAUGACUCCAGCUAUUUCCAAGGUUUGGACCCCCUCAGGGUGGGGGCCACAUCUCACAGAGACUCAUUUCUGAAGACUAGUUCUGCCACAUACCCAGCCCAGCUAAGCCCCCUUGCCAGGCCCAGAGAGGACGCUGAGGGUCAUUACCAGUCUGUCAUGGUCACAGAUGGCUGCAAGAGACAGGUGAGUUCACAGCAUCGUAGGGACUUUUCCUGGGCACCAGGACAGCUAAGAAGGACUCAGCUCUGAGACAGACUCUCUGAGCUGCCGAGGCUCCAGACCACAACGCCACAGUCCAAGCCAGGGGCAGAUGGAACGUGAGUGUGUGCCUUCAGGGCCCUUUGUGACCCGAUCCUGUCUUGGUGUUCCAGCCUUACCCCACGUGAUCCCUGUACUAUGACUCCUGGACUUCCACCUACCAAGCUUCUAGAAGGUUCCAUGCGCAUCCUGCCUCUGAACCUUUUGCACCUCCUAUACUGCCUUGGCCCCCAGCCCCCAGCACUCCAGUGCCAACGCCAAGGGCUGAACCCCAUUUUCUGGCAUUGCCUCAAGCCAAGGCGAGCUCUGCCCAUCAUGCCCCCCAGUGACACCCCCAUCUUGUGAUGUUCCUCCAGACACUGGCUACCCCUUGCACGUGGCAUGUAGUACUGAGGGCAUGUGGUAGGUUCGAUGGCUAAGCACUGACUCAACCCCUCUUGUUCAAUUUUGCACAUGUAUUUGUUGGUUUUAUUGAUGGAGUAUUUGCUCUGGAAGCCAUUUUUCCUGUUUGCUCAUUAGCAUCUACAUUCCUAAUAACAUUCCUUCUUUGGAGGCUUUAAUAUCAAAAAAUUAAUAAUCAAUGUCCAGAACAAAGGCUGGCUGACAUCAUGAGCCUACAGGGUUUAGUCUAGCAAAUUCUACUGUGUCUAGCAUACAAAACCAUACACACCAGGGGAGCAU